GAAAGGUAAGUUAAUUAAACUGCUUGGUUCAUGCCCAAAGAAUACAAAUUUUUGUCCUUUCUUA
rnacentral:tRNA from 1 species